UCAACUAUCACUGCGCGUAGU
rnacentral:rRNA from 3 species